UGAAUAUUUUGAGCCUGGAUUAUUAGUAGUUAAGUUCUUGAAAAUUAAUAAAGAUGGCGGUAUUUUAGUCUAUUCAGAGGAAUCUGCCCUAUAAUUGAUGCUCCACGAUUCAAUAUACUUAAGGUUUUAGCUUGCAUAUCGCUGUAGGUUGAAUAUUUCUAUUGAAUUUAAAUAUUCACGAGUUUGAGUGAAAGGAUAUCAAGUCAAGAUGUAGCUUAUGCUUAAGAAGAGGUGGAUUACAAUAGUGAUAUUUGUGGUUGGUGACUUGAAAUGGUUGCUAUAAAAUGGAUUUGAUAGUAAUUUUUUACUAAGAUUUGAAAAAUGAUUUUAGCUCUAA
rnacentral:rRNA from 1 species